GACGAACGCUGGCGGCGUGCUUAACACAUGCAAGUCGAACGGUGAAGGGACUGGUUUUGCUGGUCCUGGAUGAGUGGCGAACGGGUGAGUAACACGUGAGUAACCUGCCCCCUUCUUCUGGAUAACCGCAUGAAAGUGUGGCUAAUACGGGACAUUCUGGGUCUGUCGCAUGGUGGGCCUGGGAAAGAUUGCGCCUUUUUUGGUGUUUUUGGUGGGGGAUGGGCUCGCGGCCUAUCAGCUUGUUGGUGGGGUGAUGGCCUACCAAGGCGGUGACGGGUAGCCGGCCUGAGAGGGUGGACGGUCACACUGGGACUGAGACACGGCCCAGACUCCUACGGGAGGCAGCAGUGGGGAAUAUUGCACAAUGGGCGCAAGCCUGAUGCAGCGACGCCGCGUGAGGGAUGGAGGCCUUCGGGUUGUGAACCUCUUUCGCCAGUGAAGCAGGCCUGCCUCUUUUUGUGGGUGGGUUGACGGUAGCUGGAUAAGAAGCGCCGGCUAACUACGUG
rnacentral:rRNA from 1 species